rnacentral:rRNA from 1 species
GACGAAGGAUGCAAGCGUUAUCCGGAUUCAUUGGGUUUAAAGGGUGCGUAGGCGGACUGAUAAGUCAGUGGUGAAAUCUCUCAGCUUAACUGAGAAACUGCCAUUGAUACUGUUAGUCUAGAGUAUAGAUGACGUUGGCGGAAUAUGACAUGUAGUGGUGAAAUACUUAGAUAUGUCAUAGAACACCGAUUGCGAAGGCAGCUAACGAAACUAUAACUGACGCUGAGGCACGAAAGCGUGGGGAUCGAACAGG